UGAAGAACGCAGCGAAAUGCGAUAAGUAAUGUGAAUUGCAGAAUUCAGUGAAUCAUCGAAUCUUUGAACGCACAUUGCGCCCCCUGGUAUUCCGGGGGGCAUGCCUGUUCGAGCGUCAUUUCACCACUCAAGCCUCGCUUGGUAUUGGGCAACGCGGUCCGCCGCGUGCCUCAAAUCGACCGGCUGGGUCUUCUGUCCCCUAAGCGUUGUGGAAACUAUUCGCUAAAGGGUGUUCGGGAGGCUACGCCGUAAAACAACCCCAUUUCUAAGGUUGACCUCGGAUCAGGUAGGGAUACCCGCUGAACUUAAGCAUAUCAAUAAGCGGAGGA
rnacentral:misc_RNA from 1 species